GCGUAAUUGGUUUAGUGGUAAAAUUCUCCGUUGCCAUCAGAGCUUCUAACGAAACUCGUAAGCUCGGGGAGCCCUGGGUUCGAUUCCCAGAUUACGCA
rfam:Fusarium langsethiae strain Fl201059 Fl201059_contig607, whole genome shotgun sequence.